rnacentral:rRNA from 1 species
UACGUAGGGGGCAAGCGUUGUCCGGAAUCAUUGGGCGUAAAGCGCGUGUAGGCGGCUGGGUAAGUCCGCUCUGAAAGCCCGGGGCUCAACCCCGGGAGGCGGGUGGAUACUGCUCAGCUCGAGUCCGGAAGAGGAGUGUGGAAUUCCUGGUGUAGCGGUGAAAUGCGCAGAUAUCAGGAGGAACACCAGUGGCGAAGGCGGCUCACUGGACCGGUACUGACGCUGAUGCGCGAAAGCGUGGGGAGCAAACAGG